rnacentral:rRNA from 1 species
UACGUAGGGCGCAAGCGUUGUCCGGAAUUAUUGGGCGUAAAGAGCUCGUAGGCGGUUUGUCGCGUCUGCUGUGAAAACCUAAGGCUCAACCUUGGGCUUGCAGUGGGUACGGGCAGACUAGAGUGCGGUAGGGGAGAUUGGAAUUCCUGGUGUAGCGGUGGAAUGCGCAGAUAUCAGGAGGAACACCGAUGGCGAAGGCAGAUCUCUGGGCCGUAACUGACGCUGAGGAGCGAAAGCGUGGGGAGCGAACAGG